GGCGAAGCGGAAGGCAGCGCCUCUUGGUCUUUCUCCGAGGAGGUGGCUCUCAAAGCUCAGGGAGGCCAGGACCCGGUGGAUGCGGGAUUCACAGCCAUCUCCUGUCUCCCUUUGGAGUGCCAGGGCUCGGACGGACCCCAGAGAGCCUGGCAUCAGAGCUCACGGAACAUUUCUUUCCGAGGUGCGAGAGCUGAGCAUCCCUGAAGGUCCUGUCAGACAUCAGCCAGCCAGGAGAGCCGCACGCCUGCCCUUCCCACCUCUGCUCGGGGUGCUGUCUGAAGCCCUGGCCACUGGAAUGUGCACCUGCCACUGUCCUUUGGAGCCUCCUCUUGUGUGCUGGGCAGGCACCAGAGUCCCCUCUUGGCUUGUCUGGGGUAGAUCUGCCUCUGGUCACCCAUGCAUCCUGCCACUGAGCACUGGGUGCCUGCCGGGUAUCACGAGCUGUCCCCUCCCUGCUGAGCACAGAGAGAGCUCAUGGGUGUGGCCCAGCCUGGGAGUCAGAGAGGAGUCAGAGAAGACAGGAGGCCGGUGCAUGUCCUCCAUCCAGACCCUCCCUGAACAGAGUUGUCACUGCGGCAGUCACACCACAAGUCCGUCUGAACCCAGGACGUCCCUGUGAACCUGAGGAGUCUCCUCGCUCCCAGCCUCACUUUCCGGCAGCAUUCUCCCUGCGGCUGGAUGGGGAGUGGAAACAUGAAUGGACCAAGCCCUGCUCUGCUGGAGGUGCCCAUGGUGCCACCUGCCCACCACUGUCCUGGCUCUGUGGAUGCCCAGCUGGCCCGCCCUGGCACCCAUGCCUCCCCCAGGCCCCUGCCAGGUGACCCUCUCUGUGCCUGGCUCUAAAGGCCCCUUGAAAGCCCCAGGCCGAGGUAAUCACCCUUCUUUAUAGCUCUUCUCUGCCUCAAGGGUCCCCUUGUCACCCCAAGUACC
rnacentral:lncRNA from 1 species